UGAUAGUAACAUAUUCCGAGGCUUAUGAUAGUAACAUAUUCCGAGGCUUAUGAUAGUAACAUAUUCCGAGGCUUAUGAUAGUAACAUAUUCCGAGGCUUAUGAUAGUAACAUAUUCCGAGGCUUAUGAUAGUAACAUAUUCCGAGGCUUAUGAUAGUAACAUAUUCCGAGGCUUAUGAUAGUAACAUAUUCCGAGGCUUAUGAUAGUAACAUAUUCCGAGGCUUAUGAUAGUAACAUAUUCCGAGGCUUAUGAUAGUAACAUAUUCCGAGGCUUAUGAUAGUAACAUAUUCCGAGGCUUAUGAUAGUAACAUAUUCCGAGGCUUAUGAUAGUAACAUAUUCCGAGGCUUAUGAUAGUAACAUAUUCCGAGGCUUAUGAUAGUAACAUAUUCCGAGGCUUAUGAUAGUAACAUAUUCCGAGGCUUAUGAUAGUAACAUAUUCCGAGGCUUAUGAUAGUAACAUAUUCCGAGGUUUAUGAUAGUAACAUAUUCCGAGGUUUAUGAUAGAAUAUUUUAUGAUAGUAACAUAUUCCGAGGUUUAUGAUAGUAACAUAUUCCGAGGUUUAUGAUAGUAACAUAUUCCGAGGUUUAUGAUAGUAACAUACUCCGAGGCUUAUGAUAGUAACAUAUUCCGAGGUUUAUGAUAGUAACAUAUUCCGAGGUUUAUGAUAGUAACAUAUUCCGAGGUUUAUGAUAGUAACAUAUUCCGAGGUUUAUGAUAGUAACAUAUUCCGAGGUUUAUGAUAGUAACAUAUUCCGAGGUUUAUGAUAGUAACAUAUUCCGAGGUUUAUGAUAGUAACAUAUUCCGAGGUUUAUGAUAGUAACAUAUUCCGAGGUUUAUGAUAGUAACAUAUUCCGAGGUUUAUGAUAGUAACAUAUUCCGAGGUUUAUGAUAGUAACAUAUUCCGAGGUUUAUGAUAGUAACAUAUUCCGAGGUUUAUGAUAGUAACAUAUUCCGAGGUUUAUGAUAGUAACAUAUUCCGAGGUUUAUGAUAGUAACAUAUUC
ensembl:lncRNA